rnacentral:rRNA from 1 species
GACGAACGCUGGCGGCGUGCUUAACACAUGCAAGUCGAACGAAGUGGCGAACGGGUGAGUAACGCGUAAUCAACCUGCCCUUCAGAGGGGGACAACAGUUGGAAACGACUGCUAAUACCGCAUACUGAAGGAGGGGAAUGUGUCUGAUGAUCUAGGUGGGGGGGUAACGGCCCACGAAGGCGAAGAUCAGUAGCCGGUCUGAGAGGAUGAACUGCCACAUUGGGACUGGGACACCGGCCAGACUCCUAAGGGAGGCCGCCGUGGGGAAUCUUCCGCAAUGGACGAAAGUCCGACCGAGCAACGCCGCGUGAGUGAAGACGGCCCUCGGGUUGUAAAGCUCUGUUAAUCGGGACGCGGUACCGGAAUAGAAAGCCACGGCUAACUACGUGCCAGCAGCCGCGGUAAUUC